GGGGAAUUUUGGACAAUGGGGGCCACGCUGAUCCAGCCAUGCCGCGCUAGUGAAGAAGGCCUUCGGGUUGUAAAGCUCUUUCGGACGGAAAGAAAUAGCCGCUCCUACCAUAGGCGGUGGAUGACGGUUUCGAAAGAAGAAGCACCGCACAACGACGCGCCAGCAGCCGCGGUAAUACGUAGGGUGCAGCGUUAAUCGGAAUUACUGGGCGUAAAGCGUGCGCAGGCGGUUUGGUAAGACAGGUGUGAAAUCCCCGGGCUUAACCUGGGAACUGCGCUUGUUACUGCCAGGCUAGAGUACGGCAGAGGGGGGUGGAAUUCCACGUGUAGCAGUGAAAUGCGUAGAGAUGUGGAGGAACACCGAUGGCGAAGGCAGCCCCCUGGGCCUGUACUGACGCUCAUGCACGAAAGCGUGGGGAGCAAACA
rnacentral:rRNA from 1 species